GACGAACGCUGGCGGCGCGCUUAACACAUGCAAGUCGAACGAGAAAGGGGCUUCGGCUCCGAGUAAAGUGGCGCACGGGUGAGUAACACGUGGGUAAUCUGCCUCUAAGAUUGGGACAACUCGUCGAAAGAUGAGCUAAUACCGAAUAAGACCACAGUUCCUGCGGGAACAGGGGUCAAAGGUAGCCUCUGCUUGCAAGCUAUCACUUAGAGAUGGGCCUGCGCACCAUAGCUAGUUGGUAGGGUAACGGCCUACCAAGGCAAAGAUGGUUAGCUGGUCUGAGAGGAUGAUCAGCCACACUGGAACUGAGACACGGUCCAGACUCCUACGGGAGGCAAGCAGUGGGGAAUAUUGCGCAAAU
rnacentral:rRNA from 1 species